rnacentral:rRNA from 1 species
CCUACGGGAGGCAGCAGUGAGGAAUAUUGGUCAAUGGACGAGAGUCUGAACCAGCCAAGUAGCGUGAAGGAUGACUGCCCUAUGGGUUGUAAACUUCUUUUAUAAAGGAAUAAAACGAGGCACGUGUGCCUUUUUGCAUGUACUUUAUGAAUAAGGAUCGGCUAACUCCGUGCCAGCAGCCGCGGUAAUACGGAGGAUCCGAGCGUUAUCCGGAUUGAUUGGGUUUAACGGGAGCGUAGAUGGGUUGUUAAGUCAGUUGUGAAAGUUUGCGGCUCAACCGUAAAAUUGCAAUUGAUACUGGCAGUCUUGAGUACAGUUGAGGUAGGCGGAAUUCGUGGUGUAGCGGUGAAAUGCUUAGAUAUCACGAAGAACCCCGAUUGCGAAGGCAGCUUACUAAACUGUGACUGACAUUGAUGCUCGAAAGUGUGGGUAUCAAACAGGAUUAGAUACCCUUGUAGUC